rnacentral:rRNA from 1 species
GACGAACGCUGGCGGCGUGCUUAACACAUGCAAGUCGAACGGAAAGGCCCUGCUUUUGUGGGGUGCUCGAGUGGCGAACGGGUGAGUAACACGUGAGUAACCUGCCCUUGACUGUGGGAUAACUUCAGGAAACUGGGUCUAAUACCGGAUAGGAGCUCUCGCUGCAUGGUGGGGGUGGGAAAGUUUCGGCGGUUGGGGAUGGACUCGCGGCUUAUCAGCUUGUUGGUGGGGUAGUGGCUUACCAAGGCUUUGACGGGUAGCCGGCCUGGGAGGGUGACCGGCCCCAUUGGGACGGAGAUACGGCCCGGACUCCUACGGGAGGCAGCGGUGGGGAAUAUUGCACAAUGGGCGGAGGCCUAGUGCAGCAACGCCGCGUGCGGGAUGACGGCCUUCGGUUUGUAAACCGCUUUCGCCUGUGACGAAGCGUGAGUGACGGUAAUGGGUAAAGAAGCACCGGCUAACUACGUG